GAUGAACGCUGGCGGCGUGCCUAACACAUGCAAGUCGAGCGGAGAAUUGUUGCUUGCAACAAUUCUUAGCGGCGGACGGGUGAGUAACACGUGGGUAACCUGCCCUAAACAAAGGGAUAACAAUGAGAAAUCAUUGCUAAUACCGUAUAAGCUUACACUAUCGCAUGAUAGAGUAAGAAAAGAUUUAUCGGUUUAGGAGGGGCCCGCGUCUGAUUAGCUAGUUGGAGAGGUAACGGCUCACCAAGGCGACGAUCAGUAGCCGACCUGAGAGGGUGAUCGGCCACAUUGAGACUGAGACACGGCACAAACUCCUACGGGAGGCAGCAGUGGAGAAUAUUGCACAAUGGAGGAAACUCUGAUGCAGCAACGCCGCGUGAAGGAAGAAGGUUUUCGGAUCGUAAACUUCUAUCUACAGGGAAGAAAAAAAUGACGGUACCUGAGGAAGAAGCCCCGGCUAACUACGUG
rnacentral:rRNA from 1 species